GGAUCUGCAAGCGCACAGAUUAAUACCGAUGCAGCAUUUUAACCGGGAAGUAUUCCAGGUAUCGUUAUUUAUAUUUUUACCACUGGAAAGGGAUUAGCAAUCAUCAAUAUUGAUUACAGAAUAGAAUAUGAGAUUGAGCAUCUAUCAUUGCAGGUAUAAUUGAGAACAUUAUAUCUAACUCUUCAUACAGGGAUAAGUGUCACAUAAAAGAUAUAUGAAUUAAUAAUAGUGACAAGGAUAACUAAUCUGAUCUAGCCACAUAAUAAAUAUGAUAAGCACCUCAAUUAGAUACUCUAGAAAGUCAUUAGCAUGGUAUUAGAAUGAACUACAAGAAUAUUCCCUAAGUUAUUCUCAACUAUAUAGUCUAGCAUUAUCAUAAUUAGUGCAAGCAUACUUAGCAAUCAUUGUGAGACAAGACUACGCCCAUGCAUAGUGAUAUUAGCAAGGUAAAUGAGAAACAUAGCAAUCACUCCCCUGUAAUAAUGUUGCUCUGCCAGCCCAAUACACGAGAGGGGGACUAUAUAAGAAUCAAUGAAGCUGUCACUAUCACGAACCACCCCACGAUCUGGCAUAUUGGGUACAAUCGCAGAUAAAUACGGUAUAAGCACCACGCCUACACAAUAUCUAUCAUUUACCCAUGGAUCCGAUGGAUAAACGCUAUACGAUCCUAAGCAUGUAUAUAGAUCCAAUCUAACUAAGCCAAGUACAUAACUAUGAUAAACUAAGAACAAUAUAAUCUUGAAUAUAAGCAAGUAGAGCAAAGUCAUAAGCAAUAUAUUGAAAUACAACAAAGUCAUAUUCAUAAUAUUGAAGAACAAAGAUAAUUAGAAAGCAAUUAGAAGCACAAUUAGAGAAUUACCAAGAAUCCUCUUGACAGAUCCGGAAACCAAUCAAAGAUUGACUCCUUCAAGUUCUAAUCCUAUGUAGCUAUGCUAAUCUAGAUGUCUAAUUGAUGUGGUGGCUCUAAUCUUGAUCAGAGGCUUCUUCUCCCUUGAGGAACAAUGAUUUAGGGUUGAGAGGCUCUCUCCUCCAGGGGCCAGGGGGUCUGGUUUUAUAGUCCCUUCAAGUGAAUAUGGGCCAUUGGAUCAAACCGACAUAGAUUGUAUGGUUUAGAUUCAUCCUUUAGGUCGGUGGAGAUCUCCCGCGAAGCAGAGUCCUGAUUGGACUCAGGGAGGGGGCGGGCGCCCAGUGUAGGAGGGCGGGCGCCCUGCCUCCGGCCCCGUUUCGCCUCCGCUUCGGUCUCGUGGCUUCUGGAGUCUUCUAGAUGUAAGAUAAUUGCGCGGCACGUUAAUAUCUCUAUGUAAUCCCGACGUGUGGGCCCUUCUUCCGUAUUUCCUGAUAACCCCCUGCAGAAAUAGACAAACACCAAAACUCGUGGAAUUCUGUCAGAUAAAACCCUAAGUCUAGAUAUUGAUUUCAUUUGGAUCCUUUUCUUUAUUUAUUUGAUAAUUAAAUUUGAUACUUAAGGACCGUCAACAAACUCCCCCAAGCUUACCUCUUGCUCGUCCCUGAGCAAGGAUAGACUCAGCUAUGGAUCAUAAGUUGUUGCAAUAUCUUUUAAAAAUUGACGGUACACAUGCUUUUUAAAUAAGAUCUCAUCUCUGAGUUAGAGUAAACUGUCAAGACUUAAAACUUACUUACUUUACCUUCACCAUGGGACUUGCAACUGUCACUUCUAUCUUGAGUAGUUAAAAGAUAGAACAGUCUAGUCAAGUGCCAUGUCUCUUAUUAUUAAUCAGCUAUAGCUCUGGGGUUUUUGCAGAUUUUCAAAUAAAACUCAGAAUUCCUUGUAUGAUUCUCUCAGAUCUCUCUUUUGUGGUAUUUCUGGAUCCUUACCAAGGUAGUGAUGGUAUAUGCCUUCUCUCAAGAUAUGUGGUAUUUGUGGUAUAAAGCAUAGUGACAUUAUCUUAUCUCUCACCCUACUCUAAUAAGGCUUUAAUAUCUGGAGCUCAGAGGUGGGAGAUAAAGUAUACAUACUUACAAGACAUUUAUUGCAUAGUCAAACCAUGGAUCGAAAGAAACAAAUCAAUAAGUCAAAUCAAGAUGUGCAUGUGUGGCGAAUGAAUGAUGAUGGUGAUGAUGGUGAUAACAAUUGUGGAAGUCUAAUUCUACUUUUGCUCUUUGAGGGGAUACAUACCUUUCUUGCUUUUUGAAAUUUUAUGAGGAGAAUGAGAUGCUCUUCUUUUUCUUUUCUCUCAGGUGGGUAUCUUGUACCCCUAAUUCUACUGUCGGACACUUGUCCAUUUUUACCUCUCGUCUCACUUUUCUUUUCUUUCGAGGUUCCGAGCACUUGCUCCUUUUUAUUUCCUGGUUUUUUUUAUUUUUUUUAUUUUUUAGAGCACUCAUCUCUUGAGAUAAUAUAGCAAGUGGUAGUAACAAGAUAACUUGAGCAUUUAUUUCACAAGGGAAAAACAGAAAUAUUUUUGGUUAUUCUCUCCCGGAUUAGGAGUAGAAUAUUUUUUUGGUGAUUCUGGAGAUGGAAAUGGAUGGAUAUAUGUGGAUGGUACUUCUGGAGUAGAAGUAGCAUAUAUGAGUGAACGUGCAAGUGAAUCUUGAUUUAACCACAUGACAAGCUCCUAAGGGUCUACACAGCUUGACCACACUCAAUGCUCAUAAGCAGUAAAUAAUAAUUGUGUGGCUCAAAGUCUAGCAAGCAUGUAUAUGUGGCUGUGGUAGGAAUUUAAACUCUCAUCACACAGGAACUCAUCAUGCAACAUUUUUAAGAUUUUCAAAGAUAAAAUUCUCCAGAAUUCUAGCAUCUCUAGGAACAGAUAAACAGCAGCUCAACCUUCCCAUAUCGUAUCGGUUAACAACUUAGACUUCAGAUCAAGUUUUCAUCCCACAAGUUUAGGUCUAGAGUAAGCUUUAAAUUAUAAUAGUUAUAUCUAAACUUGAGAGAGAACUUAAAAUGUGCAAAUUAGGCAGAGCAACUAUUCAUCAUAUCUAUGCUUAAGUUUUAUUUAGAUACAGAUUAGCAUAGCCACUUUAUUUAUUCAUUAAACACACUAAGCAAAAGACAAAUAUAUAAGUACGAAAUCUUUAUUUGAUUUUUCAUAGUUAUGUAUAUUUAUAUUCUAAAAUAAUAUAAGUAUAAAGAUAGAUAGAAAUACUUAUCGGGAUAAAUGGGGGUGCUCUCCCCCAAGCUGAAUUUUGACGUAAUUUCUCUUGAUGUAGCUAGCAAGUGGCAGAGGUGUAUUUGAAAGUCAGCAGCAUUCUGACAGCGAUUAGAAUGUCCUCUGUCUGCUAGUCUUCUUGAUUCUUAAAUUAUGUGGAGCUCAAAUAGACAACAAAGCUUGUGGAACUGAUUAAGUGUUAGCAUAAAUAUCUAGCCUUUAUCAUGUUGAGACUCCUCAAUAAUUAUUACUCCCUAUUUUUAUAUUUUUAUUUUUAUAAAGCAGAAAAGAAAUAUUUAUUUUAUUUUUAUGCCACCACAGUGAAUGUACUUAUGGGUUUUAUGCCACUCGUAUACUCACAUGGGGCUUACUGUUUUUUUCAUAUUUUUAUUUCCUUUUUAAGAUAGUACGAACAUCAUUAACUAAGUAAACUAUUUAAAAUAAUUGAAAGGGAAAGGAUAACUACCAAGUUUACCUCUUGGCAAGGCGUUCGGUGUUUUUAAGUCCUCCGAACGGGACUCUCCAUUUUUCUCAAUCGUCCUGAGGUUCGUUGGGUGGCGUAGUCGGUACUUCCGGCGGCGCCUCCUCUUCAUGUAUAGUUAUCUUCAUUUUCCACACCUGACUUGGUGCUUCGGUCUCCUCUGGAUAAUUCUGUUUAAACUCUAUGUCUUCUGACCUUAUAACUUCUCCUUCGUAGUCUGCCCAUCCGUCCUUGAUGAUCUGCUUCCUCUGGUUACGGUUGCGUCUUUUCCUUACCUGCUUAGAUUCUUCAACGAUAUAGUUAGGGUCAGUAAAAUAACAGCGUACCUUCUCUGAGGGGAAGUGCAUAUGGACUUCUCCGGUUCCAAUGUAGAUAAUUGCUUUAACGGUGCUGAGGAACGGUCUUCCAAGGAUGAUGGGUGGAUCAUACUCGUCUUCUCCCAUGUCAAUAACUUGAAAGUCUGUGUAGACAAAGUGAUCGUCUAUGUUGACUGGGACAUCAGUUACUAUUCCUUUAACUUCUCGAAAUGUCUGAUCUGCCAUCUGGAGCUGAAUGUAUGUUGGUCUUAGGGGCAUGGUUCCGAACAAGAGCCGAUAGGUGACUGCGGCCAUUAUGUUGACGCCCGAUCCGGUGUCACAAGUUGCCUUGUAGAAGUUGUAUCCAUUGAUGGAGCAGUAGAUGCUUGGCAUUCCUAGGUCGUCCUUCUUGGUCAAAAGCGGUGACUUAAGUUGCUGAUCUUGGCCUCCAUGAACUACAGUGACUAUCUUAGCUGACUCGGCCCACACUUGCUUGUUCCUGUUCCUCCUGUUGGUCCUCUUCCUUGAUUGACGUCUGGGUUGAUCUGGAAUUUGUGUAGUCUUGUUCUUGAAGAAAAAUGUCUCCUUCCUCCCUUUGACGUAGAAACUGAUCUUAGCAGCACUAGCGUAGAUGAUAGCUCCCGUGGUAUUCAAGAAUGGCCUCCAUAAGAUGAUAGGUGCUCUCUCAUCAUUUCCGGUCUCUACUACUACGAAGUCUGCUAGAGCAUAUAAGGUACCAACUCGGACAAAAAGGUUCUUCAAUAUUCCUUUUGGAAAAGUUAUCGUGUGAUCUGCAAACUGCAAACACAUGGUUGUUUCUAAUAAAGGAUAUGUAAUGAAUUUUUCAUAGAGUACCCUGGGUAUAAUGCUGACACUAGAGCCAAAGUCACAGAGUGCUUCUGGAACGUCCACCAUGCCGAUGGAGAUUGGGAUGACGGGGCGCCCUGGAUCGCCUCUCUUGACCGGCAGAAGGUCAGUAGAGAAUUUAGUGACGGGGUUACUCCAAUUACCUACAUCAAACAUGUCUACAAGAUUUGCAGAUUCUAAUCCUUCCGGUUGUGAUGGUAUACCGGGGUUAGUAGUAGGAACAGCAGCAGCUAUUUGAUUUAACUGAGAUUCAAUCAUUUUAUUAAAGCUAAUUUGAUUCUUGAUGGCAGUAGAGAAAUUAUCCAUUCUAUUAUUUAUAUUUUCUAGCAUUUUAUCAUUAGAUGCCAAUUUCUUAGAUAGGUUAUCCAUUAGCUUUCCUUGAUUAGACACUAACUCUCUCAAAGGUGGAAAAUUAUUAUUAUUGUUGUAAGAAUUGUUACCUUGAUAAUUACCUAAGUAGUUAGGCCUCUGUUGGUUCCAACCUUGAUUUUGUUGAGGACGGUUGUAGUUGUUGUUGUUGUUGUUGAUGAUGUAGUUCACAUCCUCCAGCAUCUCAGGGCAGUGGUUGCCUGAGUGUCCAGUAUCUCCACGCUCCUCACAAGUCACGUGAGAGUCGUAGAUGUGCAUAACUUCUUUCUUGUCUCCAGCUCUAUCGUCGAGCUUCUUCAUGAGCAGGUCUAGCUUUGCAGACAACAUGUCUACCUCCUUGAGCUGAUGCAUACCUCCACCUCUCUUGCGUGUCUGGGUCCUCUCUUCAUUCCAGCUUUGAUUGGACGCUAUCUUCUCCACAAGAGAUGUGGCUUGUGGUAUAGUAAGUGAUAAGAAUGCUCCUCCAGCUGCAACAUCCAUGGUCUCUCGGGCACUGUUGCCGAGCCCAUGAUAAAAUGUCUGCAUCAGUAGCCAACUCUCCAUUCUAUGAUGGGGACAUUCUAGGAUGUAGUCUUGAAAGCACUCCCAUGCUUCUAGAACAGAUUCAUCAUUUUGUUGCUGAAAACUUGUAAUCUUCCCACGGAGAGCAUUGGUCUUGCCCAUGGGAAAGAACUUUGCCAGGAAGUUUGUUGAGCAGAGUGCCCACAUAGUAUUCUUCUCCUUUGUAGCGUAGAACCACUGCUUCGCUCUUCCUAACAGUGAGAAUGGGAAGAGGCGAAGUAGUAUAGCAUCUUUGGAAACUCCUGAUAUGGUGAAUGUGUUGCAAAUCUCUAGGAACUGUUGUAAAUGAGCACUAGCAUCUUCGUGUGCCUUCCCACAAAACUGGUUGGUUGGAUUGCACCAUGUUGAUAAGUCCAGGCUUGAGCUCAAAGUUGCCAUCGAUCUCUGCAGCAGGUCCAGUGCGGAUGUUGUCCGUAGUGGGAGCUGAGAACUCGCGGAUCGAUUUGUUUGCCAUGGCUUCGAACUCUGAAGACAAGUUCCGGUGAUCUUCUUGAUUGGAUGAAGCUUCUUGCUGAAGUGUUGAUGAUCUCUUCUUCAGCUUGGCUCUCGUCUUCUUGAAUAAUGCUUCAGGAUUGUCAACAAAAUUUCUUGGAAGAUGUCUUCUAUUCAUACAUUCCCCUGCAUAAGAUAAAAUAGAAAAAUAUCGGGGUAAAACUGUAUGAGAGAAUAGAUAAGCUCAAUCAUAUUAGUGAUGCGAAUGAUAACUCAAUAUCUUUUAUUCCAUUCCUGAUUAGUAAUCAACCUUCCCCGGCAACGGCACCAAAAAUGCUUGUUGGGUAUUCUUAACAUCAUUACCAAAAGUAGACUAAGUUCUCUAAAUCUAUUAACGGUGCCAAAAAUGCCAAACCUAUCCCUCACACCACUUAAGCCAAGUUGUCAUCCUCAGCAUGACAUGAGAGACGCGGUAUUGAAAUAUGCAAUUGCUCUUCUAAAUAAAUAAUGAAUGGGAUCUACAAGCGCACAGAUUAAUACCGAUGCAGCAUUUUAACCGGGAAGUAUUCCAUGUAUCGUUAUUUAUAUUUUUACCACUGGGAAGGGAUUAGCAAUCAUCAAUAUUGAUUACAGAAUAGAAUAUGAGAUUGAGCAUCUGUCAUUGCAGGUAUAAUUGAGAACAUUAUAUCUAACUCUUCAUACAGGGAUAAGUGUCACAUAAAAGAUAUAUGAAUUAAUAAUAGUGACAAGGAUAACUAAUCUGAUCUAGCCACAUAAUAAAUAUGAUAAGCACCUCAAUU
rnacentral:lncRNA from 1 species